GACGAACGCUGGCGGCGUGCCUAAUACAUGCAAGUAGAACGCAGUUGCGAACGGGUGAGUAACGCGUAGGUAACUGCCUGGUAGCGGGGGAUAACUAUUGGAAACGAUAGCUAAUACCUCUUACUACCAGAUGGACCUGCGUUUUAUUAGUUAGUUGGUGGGGUAACGGCUCACCAAGGCAACGAUACAUAGCCGGCCGGGGAGGGGGAUCGGCCACACCGGGACUUGGACACGGGCCAGACGCCUACGGGAGGCAGCAGUAGGGAAACUUCGGCAAUGGGGGGAACGCUGACCGAGCAAAGCCGCGUGAGUGAAGAAGGGUUUCGGAUCGUAAAGCUUUGUUGUUAAGGAAGCGGUACUUAACCAGAAAGGGACGGCUAACUACGUGCCAGCAGCCGCGGUAAUUC
rnacentral:rRNA from 1 species